rnacentral:lncRNA from 1 species
UUUGAGAGGACCCGCACAAAGGAGGUAGAACGGAGGGCAGGUUUUCGCCUCACACACGCAGCUUUCACAGAAACCUGCAGCCUUUCAAAUGGAUUUCUAAACUUUGCUCACUAGCUUUAGCAAAUUUCAAUGUGCAACAAAACAGCUGUUCUUACCGAAGUAUUGUCACCCAAAAUGAUGCUUCGUAGAUUCUCCAGCUAUUGGUAAAGAAUCCGUAUGAUGAACGCCACGUUUACAUCCUUCACAGUCUGUUUUAUCUGUGCCUUUGGAGAGAACCAACGCAGAAAUUGUCCAGCUGCGUGGCAAAUAAGCCGUGUGCUUGGUUUUUGUACAGGUGUGAGGUUCAUUGUGGACAAAGAGAGAAAGGGGGAAAAGGCAAGAACCUGUCAGUGAGACUGAGGAAGGGGCCUGGACCAGUCCCAGUCAGUCCCUGGUUUACCAGGCUCCGCCUGGGAUGACGUGAGGCGGUAAGCGCGGGCGCUCAGUCACCGUGGAGCAUAACCACGCUGUGGGGAUUAGGCACUUCGCUACACGUUCACCAGUAAAACUAAUUCUGGAAGAAGAAAGAGAUGAAAAGCAACUCAGAAGGAGAAGGGCUGUCAUCGGUUCUAGAUGUGACGCAGCAAAUGAAGUAGUGGGAAAAUAAAAUGAUGAGAAGUGGAAAUGACCUGUCGAAAGCUGAUACGUGGAAAAUUAAUUUCAGAUUGAAACCACCACUUUACCAGGAUGAAGUCAGAGAAGUUCUCUCAGGAAAGAAGCAAAACGCACAGAAAUUCAAGUUUCAACAGUGAGGUUCUACAUGAGCUGACAAGGCCUCAGGGAAACGGCAGGCAGAUCAGCAAAUAACAAAUUACCAAAGUGAAAUUAGCAUGUAAUAAAAGUCUCAGUACCCCUUUGAGAUAACACUUGCUCUUACCUGUAGAGGUUCCUGAGAGGGUUGUGGGAGCUUGAAAGAAAGCAGAUGCUCCAAAAUCUCAAACCUCAGAAACAGGAAGAAAAGAAUUGAUUCCCAACGAAACACAUGGGGCCACACAAUUCCUUGGGGAUUUAAUCACAGGAAGCCACGGGAUGUCGCAGGGGACAGGAGGAACGGUUUGCCUUCAGACCUUCUCCGCUCCAUUUUGUGGGGACACUUCAGUCAUCCUGACCCAGAUCCAUUUUGGGGUCCUCUGAUUCCUCCCGUGUGUCAGAGAAAGGGAGGAAUGCUGGUGGCAAGGAAGCAGGAAGGCUUGGAGGGAAGGACAGUUUGCCUGUCCCCACACGGGAGCACAGAAGGGAGGAAUCGUGCCAUCCGGGUGGCUCAGCGCAGGGCCAGGCAGCAGCUGCGUCGGGCACACGACUGGUAUUACAGGUUGUGCUGCUAUUGCCUCAGGUCCUGCCGCUGCCUAAUAGCCGCGGUAUUGUUUGGUGUCCUCGCCGAGUCACGACCCUGUGGGAUUUCUGGCACUUGGGCAAACCCCUGACACGCAGACCGGUCGUGUUCCUCCCACGCAGCGCGUGGGCGAGCCCACGUGCGGCCUCCUGCCCCUGGGUGCACAGACAGCCCGUGCGGAGCUCGUGCCUCUCUGGUGUGACGGCAGCACCCCAAAACGUCCUUUUAUAUACCGUACUUGGCCGUUCCUCUCUCGAGAAGGGCUGUGGCCCAGGCCUGCUGCUGCGGGGGGCGUGCUAAAAGGCCCUGCCUUGUGCUGUUUGUUGGAGGAUCCCUGGGAGGCCUCACAGAGGCUUCAAAAAUGGUACAGUCGAAAGCUGCUGUAGCCAGUAUACACCUGAAAGUAUCCUCAGUGCUGAAGAAAAAAUAAAUAAAUAAAUAAAUAAAUAAAAAGGAAGUGG